AUUGAACGCUGGCGGCAGGCUUAACACAUGCAAGUCGAGCGAGCGGCGGACGGGUGAGUAAUGUCUGGGAAACUGCCUGAUGGAGGGGGAUAACUACUGGAAACGGUAGCUAAUACCGCAUACCAUCAGAUGUGCCCAGAUGGGAUUAGCUAGUAGGUGGGGUAAUGGCUCACCUAGGCGACGAUCCCUAGCUGGUCUGAGAGGAUGACCAGCAACACUGGAACUGGGACACGGUCCAGACACAGACGGGAGGCGGCAGUGGGGAAGAUUGCAGAAUGGGCGCAAGCCUGAUGCAGACAUGCCGCGUGUGUGAAGAAGGCCUUCGGGUUGUAAAGCAAUUUCAGCGAGGAGGCGUUACUCGCAGAAGAAGCACCGGCUAACUCCGUGCCAGCCGCCGCGGUAAUUC
rnacentral:rRNA from 1 species